CCUUCAACGCCACUUGGCCUGUCUUUCUAACUGGUAGCAUAAUAAAUAUAAAUGGCAUCAGAACGUGAGGGGACAGGGGCCACGUGAUUGCUCCACGAAAGCCACUUG
ensembl:misc_RNA